rnacentral:SRP_RNA from 1 species
GCUGGGCGUGGUGGUGGGCACCUGUAAUCCCAGCUACUCGGGAGGCUGAGGCAGGAGAAUCGCUUGAACCCAGGAGGCCGGAGGUUGCAGUGAGCCAAGAUGGCGCCACUGCACUCCAGCCUGGGUGACAGAGAGAGACUCUAUCUCAA